UCCAGCUGUAGCUGUCGGAUUCUGACGUCUUUCUGCGAAAGCUCGCCCUUCAACCGCCGGAUCUCGUCCUGUUGUCGGAAGAACAUCCGGAGGAGCUUGGAACAGGACAGAGAGAGGGCAUCAACUUGUGUGGACUUCAGUCCACGUCAUCAGUUGUAUGAAGUGUCAUCCUCCGUUGGCAGGAAUACACAAGCACAUGGGAAUCAGGAAAGCAAGGAACUAAAGGAGGCGUCCCCGGACUAUGGGAAGGACGAAGGUCAAUGAGCCGAUUCACAUGGUCACUAAGAGAGGAGGAGAAGCAUCCUACCCCGAAUCAGGAGCUGAAUGCAUGCACUCCUGUUUUAUGUUCAUACUGCCAUUUGGGAUGAAAAUUGCACCAGAACAUUCUCAAGCACGUCAAAUUUACCCUAAGGAGCUGCCUCUCGCUGUGGCAGAAAUAGCCUCUCAGGCAGAAACUCUGUGUGUUUGCCUCUCCCUUCAGACCGUAAUCAAGACAAGAGAGGCUUAAUAGCAGACUGCCAUUUGGGAUGAAAAUUAUGCCAGAACAUUGCAGUGAUGCAGAUCUACAGUGAUUUCUCCAUGCGAGCUCUUUCCCCCUUCACAGCUCCUCCCUUGUUUGGGAAGAUGACACCCCCAGUUUUCAUAAGAUCCCACCAAACUCCAGGACCCAGAAUGGAAUCUGUCCUAAGCGGCACGAAGCUGGCAGCCACCUCAGAUGUUGGCCAAGGCAAUUCUGAUGCUAUGGAAUGUUCACAAACAUUCUCAUUGCUGAGGGGAAAGGACUAGCAGCACAGACAUCUCAACCCAGCCCUCGAGACUGUGUCCCAUAUGGGCAUCUUCCGAAGGGCACAGGUGCCGUUCAGAGGGCACGUGACAUCAGGAGUGCUGCCAUGUAUUCAAGCCUCAGGACGCCUGGCCACGCCUGGCCCCUCCCUCCCUCCCUCCACCACGAUGAAGCAGAAGGCAAAGCUCACCCACCUUGCCGGCCAAGUACAACAUGUGCGUAUCGGCAUCGUAGAAUGGGAACAGGAGCCCAGACAGGCCGUCAAUCUCCUCCUCUAUUAAGGGCAUGGACAGAUCUUCCUGCAGAAAUAGUACGCAUAGAGAGAGGCAAUCUGUGUUGUUCUGCACGGAGCGAUUGUCUUCGGUUGCUCAGCUGGAUGCCCCCUCAACUGGUGGGACACCAACCAACCCCACCACCAACCAACGAUCGUUUCCUGACCUGGUCCCAGAGGGCGAUCUGCCUCGUAUUCCACCGCGAAACUCCCGUCGUUAGAAGCCGCUUCAUGUUUCCUAAGACAACAACCCGAUUCACACGAUGGUUCUUGCAGCUGGCUUCCUGGGAAGAGAACCAAGGAUGCUGGACUGAGAUGGGCCUAGAUCCGACCCAGCCUGGCAGCCGCCAGCUACCUCUUCCAAACCAAUGCAGACAGCCGAGUGUAGUGGUUAGUUCAGGGAUCCCCAGACGCUGGAUUACAACCCCCAUCAUCCUCAACCACAACGGUUGGGGAUGACUGGAGCUGCAGCCCAACAGCGUCUGGAGGCCCAGGCUUGAGGACAAUCCUUGGGUUGGAGUGUCAUAGGACCAGGGAAACCUGGGUUCAAAUCCCAACCAAGCUAUGAAACUCAUUGGUUGACCCUUGAGCCAGCGGUGCUCUCUCUCAGCCUAGCCUACCAUGCAGGGUUGGCGCGAGGACAAAUGGAUGAGAAAGGAACCAUGUGUGCUAGCUAGCUUGUGUUCCUUCAAGGGUGCUGUUGUUUUUAAAAAUGCAACCAAUAAAUGUAUUUAUUAAGGCCA